UAUGGCCGGUGCUGGCGUACGGCUCAGCAAUCUGGACACGUUUAUCGCGCAGGGCGUGAAAGAGCUCCACAGCUCGGCAGGGAUGAAAGUCCCGUCCGCCAUGCGCUAUCGCAACCCUGGGGUGUCGAUGUCUGCCGAUGCGGAUGCCGAUGAAUAUUCCCGCUAUUGCGUUGAUGGAAAUGCCGUAGCCGCGAUGAAAGCGGCGUUAGCAGCCGUCUCGUAAUACGAAACGUUUUUUUACCGCACAUCAUGUCGCCCAAUAUGAUGUUUGCUCGUACCAGGCCCCGGCAUGUUGCUGGGGCUUUUUUU
rnacentral:ncRNA from 1 species